rnacentral:rRNA from 1 species
UACGGAGGGAGCUAGCGUUGUUCGGAAUUACUGGGCGUAAAGGGCGCGUAGGCGGAUAUUUAAGUUAGAGGUGAAAGCCCAGGGCUCAACCCUGGAAUAGCCUUUAAUACUGGAUAUCUUGAGUUCGGGAGAGGUGAGUGGAACUCCGAGUGUAGAGGUGAAAUUCGUAGAUAUUCGGAAGAACACCAGUGGCGAAGGCGACUCACUGGCCCGAUACUGACGCUGAGGCGCGAAAGCGUGGGGAGCAAACAGG